UAUAGAGGCUUUAAAUUAUCAGUGUGCUUUUCUUCUUGGAACUUGUACUCCAGUGACAAGAGUGUAUACUUUGAUUUAGAGGAUUUGGGCAACACCACUGGCCAGUGGGACUUGUAUGGAUCAGAUGACAAAGAAGGGUAUAAUAAGAAUAGUUGUUAGCUUCUUCAAGAUACCUUAAAUAUAGAAUGACAAGAAAAAAAGUGUACAUGGAAUCCUGUCGAGGAUAAUGUUAUUAGAAGCAAUUUUACAAAGAAUGCGAGUUCUCGGUUGUCAAAUAUUUUUUCUGAAGCUCGAAAUAAGGGUCAAAAGCCUGGCUGGCUUGGGACAGAUUACUGGGAGGAGCUUAAUAAAUACUGGGCUACGCCCGAGUUUCAAAAGAAGAGCGCCUAGACAAAGGCAGCUCGAAAGUCUAAGAAGGGUGGCUCAUUGCACACUUGUGGUUCGGUGUCCAUGGGACCGCUGGAGGAAAUUGGUAAUUGUUUAAGCAUUUAGAUGGCAGCAAAUACAAAUAAUGACAUAAACAACGUUAACUUGGUUUAUUUCAUUUGCAGAAAGUUUCUCUUGGUAGACCACCCACUCGACAUGAGCUAUGGAAGAAGACCCAUACGAAAAUCGAAGAUGGAAAAGAAGUUUGGGUUGAGCCACGGGCAGAGGAUACCUAUAAUCGGUAUAAUCAAGCGAUGGAGGAUCUCAUUAGGAGUCAGCCGACUGAUGAUCAAGGCAAUCCAAUCACGCCAUCAGAGGAACAAACUAUCUCCUGUUGGUUAGACGUGGUCGGUGGUGUAAAUAAGGGAAGAGCGUAUGGCCUUUGCUCCGAGAAGAACUUUCUUGCAUCCGGUGUGGAUUGCAAGGUAU